rnacentral:tRNA from 1 species
GGGCGAUUAGCUCAGUGGGCAGAGCGUCUGCUUUACACGCAGAAGGUCAGAGGUUCAAGCCCUCUAUCGCCCA